CACAAGUAUGCAAAAGGAAAAAAGAAUAAAGUUCAGUACGUGUGCUGCAAAUGGUAUGGCACAAUUAUUAAAUGUAAAUAUUUAUAGGCUAAUAGAUCUAAGUUUACAACAGUAAACUGUUCAUUCAAAUGAAA